rnacentral:pre_miRNA from 1 species
GUUUGUCAACACAGUGUUGACAAACGUAAUGUAGGCUCUAGGUGCUAUGUUAGUGUUGACAAACGUAAUGUAGGCUCUAGGUGCUAUGUUAGUGUUGACAAACGUAAUGUAGGCUCUAGGUGCUAUGUUAAACAUAGCACCUAGAGCCUACAUUACGUUUGUCAACACAGUGUUGACAAACG